AAAACCCUGUACAAGACCAAAAUCAAAAGCACCCUGAAGGACAUACCUAAUGUGCCAUGGCCUCGUACCCCAACAGAGCGCCUGCUAACAGGCUUGUUUGAGUGCAGUGCAGCACAGUUCCUGGGCAUUUUGGAAGCACUCUGGGACAGCAACACGCGGCCACUUCAAAUGAGAAUGCCUGAAGAUCCGGAGCUACAAGAGGUCUACCUGGAACUCCUGUCUGCUGGAAUUAGUUUGUUAUCUGGUGUCACUGGUGAGCAGAGGUAUGAUGACCACCCGUGCCUGUCUCCUCUUGUACUGACACAGAAUUCGAC
ensembl:lncRNA